rnacentral:rRNA from 1 species
UACGUAGGGUGCGAGCGUUGUCCGGAAUUAUUGGGCGUAAAGAGCUCGUAGGCGGUGUGUCGCGUCGGCCGUGAAAACCUGGGGCUCAACUCUGGGCGUGCGGUCGAUACGGGCAUCACUUGAGUUCGGCAGGGGGAGACUGGAAUUCCUGGUGUAGCGGUUGAAAUGCGCAGGAUAAUCAGGAGGAACACCGGUGGCGAAGGGCGGGGUCUC